AUUGAACGCUGGCGGCAGGCUUAACACAUGCAAGUCGAGCGGAGAUGAGGUGCUUGCACCUUAUCUUAGCGGCGGACGGGUGAGUAAUGCUUAGGAAUCUGCCUAUUAGUGGGGGACAACAUUCCGAAAGGAAUGCUAAUACCGCAUACGUCCUACGGGAGAAAGCAGGGGAUCUUCGGACCUUGCGCUAAUAGAUGAGCCUAAGUCGGAUUAGCUAGUUGGGGGGGUAAAGGCCUACCAAGGCGACGAUCUGUAGCGGGUCGGAGAGGAUGAUCCGCCACACUGGGACGGAGACACGGACCAGAGUCCUACGGGAGGCAGCAGUGGGGAAUAUUGGACAAUGGGGGGAACCCUGAUACAGCCAUGCCGCGUGUGUGAAGAAGGCCUUAUGGUUGUAAAGCACUUUAAGCGAGGAGGAGGCUACUGGUAUUAAUACUACCGGAUAGUGGACGUUACUCGCAGAAUAAGCACCGGCUAACUCUGUGCCAGCCGCCGCGGUAAAAC
rnacentral:rRNA from 1 species